GUUAGGAAUAUUGGACAAUGGGCGCAAGCCUGAUCCAGCCAUGCCGCGUGAGUGAUGAAGGCCUUCGGGUUGUAAAGCUCUUUAGCCGAUGAUUAUAAUGACUGUAGUCGGAAAAUAAGCCCCGGCUAACUUCGUGCCAGCAGCCGCGGUAAUACGAAGGGGGCGAGCGUUAUUCGGAAUCACUGGGCGUAAAGCGUGCGUAGGCGGCUUUGCAAGUUGGGAGUGAAAGCCCAGGGCUCAACCCUGGAAUUGCUCUCAAAACUGCAAGGCUCGAAUUCGGGAGAGGAUAGCGGAAUUGUCAGUGUAGCAGUGAAAUGCGUAGAUAUUGACAGGAACACCAGUGGCGAAGGCGACUACCUGGACUGAUACUGACACUGAGGUGCGAAAGCGUGGGGAGCAAACAGGAUUAGAUACCCGGGUAGUCC
rnacentral:rRNA from 1 species